rnacentral:rRNA from 1 species
GAUGAACGCUGGCGGCGUGCCUAAUACAUGCAAGUCGAGCGAACAGACGAGGAGCUUGCUCCUCUGACGUUAGCGGCGGACGGGUGAGUAACACGUGGAUAACCUACCUAUAAGACUGGGAUAACUUCGGGAAACCGGAGCUAAUACCGGAUAAUAUAUUGAACCGCAUGGUUCAAUAGUGAAAGACGGUUUUGCUGUCACUUAUAGAUGGAUCCGCGCCGCAUUAGCUAGUUGGUAAGGUAACGGCUUACCAAGGCAACGAUGCGUAGCCGACCUGAGAGGGUGAUCGGCCACACAGGAACUGAGACACGGGCCAGACACCUACGGGAGGCAGCAGUAGGGAAUCUUCCGCAAUGGGCGAAAGCCUGACGGAGCAACGCCGCGGGAGUGAUGAAGGUCUGCGGAUCGUAAAACUCUGUUAUUAGGGAAGAACAAAUGUGUAAGUAACUAUGCACGUCUUGACGGUACCUAAUCAGAAAGCCACGGCUAACUACGU